CUCACACCAUGCCACUAUCCUGCGGCUACAGGGUCAACUACGCAAACUUGAAUUAGCCAAGUCAACGCUAAUGCUGUGAAGAAUGAAACAUGGCUUCUUUGCCUCAGGCCUCCCAGCUCAAAGAACGUUCCAGAGCCGCAAAAAUAUUGCACUUCGUGAAUGCCAAAGGGGAAAAAAAAUACUAGAUCCACAACACAUAGCGAACAUGUUCGCUAAUUAUUAUAGUAACCUCUAUAAUCUCAAUAAAGACCCACAUGUACCAACUUCUUCCGCUACUGAGAUACAUGGGUUCCUAUCUAACCUCAAACUCCCCUCUCUGAGCGAAGAAGAAGCAGAAUCUCUCCUCAUCCCUUUUAGCCUUGAGAAAAUUUCCUCCAUAAUCCAUUCUCUCCCGGCGCAUAAAGCGUCUAGCCCGGAUGGUCUACCUAAUUCCUAUUACCGCACAUACCAAACAACUCUAGCCCCCUAUUUACUAAAUCUUUACAACCAUAGCACACAGAAAGAGACACUACCAGAUGAACUGCACCACUAUUACAGAUGUGUACAAAUGAACUUGCAGGAUGGAAGGCGGCCCACCUAACGUGGCUAGGUAAGAUUAACACGUUCAAAAUGAUGACCCUCC